rnacentral:lncRNA from 1 species
GUUCUGCGAAUAAAUAACUGGAUUUACCUACAUGUCAGUGAAAAGGCAGGACAUGGAAACUUGUGUUUACAAGGCUUCUCAAAUGAUGAAGUCAAGGAAGUCUCCUCUCUGAGAAUGGCUCAUCACCUGAUUGAUAUUCAGUCAUCCAGAAGGGAUUCAAGUGGCAGAAAGACCUGCAUCUUCCAUUUAAGAGUACAAACCAGAAUUCACAUGUCACAUCUAGCCAAUACUCCAUUUGCCAUCAAUAGUCAUGUGACUAACCCAGGCAGAAGGGAAGCCAUGAGAAGGAUAGUCAUUUUCUUAAUUAGAUUGGACAAAACUCUUCACAGUUCAAAAUACACCAUUCUGGAUCCGCAGCGUUGGCCUGCUUUGCCAGGGUGAUCUGGAGACCGGGAUCAUCACUCUGAUGAGCUGUUUUUUGUUUUCUUCUCUCUCUCUGUGAUAUCAUAAUUAAAAAAUUAAAAAAAAAUUAAAAAAAUACACAUUCUUUCAGAAUAUUUUUUCUUCUAGAAUGAAAUAUUUUGCAGAACUUUAGAACUACCCAAUAUAUCACUUGUUUUUACUUUUAAGUUUAUUCACCCCCUUCUCAUUUUUUUAGCAAUAAAAGAUAACUAAACACAAUUAGCUUUAGUUUGUUGGUCAGGAUUAAAUAACUUUUCAUUACAUAGACCCUGAGCAUGGUGCUGGGACUUGUUAAAUGUCAGACAAGAAAAAAAAGGCAUUUGAAUUGGAGUUAAACAUCAAGAUAAAUUGUUUUAUGUUGUCACAGUUUUAAUGUCAAAUCUAUCAAUAUCUCUAUACACAUACACACAAAUAUAUAUAUACAAUAGGAUACACAUACAUGUGUAUGUUUUGUGUACAUAAUAUGCACACACACAAAUCCAGCAAGUGGCUUGGGCACAUAGUCAACUUAAUAUACACUAACACAUAACACUAGAAUCUCAGAGCAAAUAAUUGAGAGGUUAUUUUAUUUCAUUUUUUAUUUUUUAAAAUGACUUUAUUUAUUUAUUCAUGAGAGACACUGAGAGAGAGGCAGAGGCCUAGGCAGAGGGGGAAGCAGGCUCCCUGUGGAAAGCCUGAUAUAGGAUUCUAUCCUAGGACCCUGGGAUCAUGACCUGAGGUGAGGGCAGAUGCUCAACUACUGAGCAACCCAGCUACCCCGACCCAGGUUAUUUUAGAAA